ensembl:snRNA U5 U5 spliceosomal RNA
AUAUUCUGGUUUCUCUUCAGAUCAAAUAAAUCUUUCGCCUUUUACUAAAGAUUUCCAUGGAAGCAGUUUUGAGUUGUAACCUAAUUUUUUGAGGCCUUGUGUUGGGCAAGGCU